rnacentral:RNase_P_RNA from 1 species
AAAAGCAGGCGGACAAUCGCGCAAAGUUUUUAACUUUGUGAGGAAAGUCCGGACAUCCAAAAAGGCAGGUUGCUUGAGAAAUUCAAGUGCGCGUGAGCGUGAGGACAGUGCCACAGAAAAGUAGAAUGCUUGGUGAAGCCCUUGUAUGCUUGCUUUAGCAAGUGCACAAGGUGUAACUUUAGAUGAGCGACUCAGGAUAAUUGAGGCAGCGAACUUGCCAUUGCAAGUGAGUACUGCCGAAAUACCCGCAGCAGCAAUCUUGACACUAAGCGAUUGUGCAACGGCGGAGUAAGAGCCCACCGCUAAAAUCGUGAGAUUUUAGGCAUGGUAAACCCCAAUCGGAUGCAAGUUUGAAUUUGUAAAAAGGGUGCCUUUUCCCGUUUCCUUGUGAAAGUUACAUAAAAAAACGCAUUAGACAGAUGAUUGUCUGAAAAACGGAAUCCGGCUUAUUGCAGGCUUUUCGCU